AUAAUCUGCCUAUCAGUGGGGAAUAACUAACCGAAAGGUUAGCUAAUACCGCAUGAGGCCACAAGAUCUGAGGAUCUAGGGGUUAAAGAUUUAUCGCUGAUAGAUGAGUCUGCGUGGGAUUAGCUAGUUGGUGGGGUAACGGCCUACCAAGGCAACGAUCUCUAACAGGUCUGAGAGGAUGACCUGUCACACUGGAACUGAGACACGGUCCAG
rnacentral:rRNA from 1 species